rnacentral:rRNA from 1 species
AGCGAACGCUGGCGGCAGGCUUACCACAUGCAAGUCGAGCGGGCGUAGCAAUACGUCAGCGCCAGACGGGUGAGUAACGCGUGGGAACAUACCUCUUGGUUCGGAACAACACAGGGAAACUUGUGCUAAUACCGGAUAAGCCCUUACGGGGAAAGAUUUAUCGCCGAGAGAUUGGCCCGCGUCUGAUUAGCUAGUUGGUAGGGUAAUGGCCUACCAAGGCGACGAUCAGUAGCUGGUCUGAGAGGAUGAUCAGCCACAUUGGGACUGAGACACGGCCCAAACUCCUACGGGAGGCAGCAGUGGGGAAUAUUGGACAAUGGGGGCAACCCUGAUCCAGCCAUGCCGCGUGAGUGAUGAAGGCCCUAGGGUUGUAAAGCUCUUUUGUGCGGGAAGAUAAUGACGGUACCGCAA